CGUAACUCCUACAAAGCACACUGCCUCCAAAUCCACCAGUGGUAAAGCACCGGAAGCAGCUGGCUGCAAAAGCUGCCCACAAUGGUGUGCCCUCUACUGAGGAGUGAAGAAACCUCAUGGCUACAGGCCUGGUGCUGUGGCACUCCAUGAAAUUAGGCGUUAUCAGAAGUCCACUGAACUUCUCAUUCACAAGCUCUCUUUCCAGGUUUUGAUGCGAGAAAUUACUCUCAACUUCAAAAGGAUCUGCGCUUCCAGAGCACGGCUACUGGUGCUUUGCAGGAGCCAAGUGAGGCCUAUCUGGUUGCCUUUUUGAAGGCACCAUUCUGUGUGCUGUCCAUGCCAAAUGUGUAACAAUUAGACCAAAAGGCAUCCAGCUAGCACGUGGAGAACGUAAUUAAGA
rnacentral:lncRNA from 1 species